UGGUAAUCAUAUGAAAGCAUUUGCCCCACCCCAGGGUGACCGUGGGAACCUGGAGAAGUUAAGAAAUGAAUGUAAUAGACUGAACUGCAAGCUGUGGCAGUCUGGGUCUGGAAGGAGAAGAAGCUGUAGAAGAUAUUUUCCUUCAGUAGCUUCUCCACAGCCAUGGUGGGAGAUGGCAGAAACAGCCAGCAUCACUUCUGGGAGGUGGACCACAGAAGAGAAAAAGAAACAACAGACCCAAUAGAGAGAUAUCCAGCUGUGUCCAGUCCCUGUAAAGUC
rnacentral:lncRNA from 1 species